rnacentral:rRNA from 1 species
AGGACUAACGCUGGCGGCGUGCCUAACACAUGCAAGUCGAAAGGGGGUAGCAAUACCCCAGUGGCAGACGGGUGAGUAACACGUGGUCAACCUACCUCUGUGUGGGGGAUAACUAGCCGAAAGGUUAGCUAAUACCGCAUACGAUCGUUUUGAGGCAUCUCGAGACGAUGAAAGGAGCAAUCCGCACGGAGAGGGGACUGCGUCCCAUUAGUUAGUUGGUGGGGUAACGGCCUACCAAGACUCCGAUGGGUAGCUGGCUUGAGAGAGCGACCAGCCACACUGGAACUGAGACACGGUCCAGACUCCUACGGGAGGCAGCAGUGAGGAAUUUUCCGCAAUGGGCGAAAGCCUGACGGAGCGACGCCGCGUGUGGGAUGAAGGCCUUCGGGUCGUAAACCACUGUCGAAGGGGACGAUAUUGACGGUUACCCUUGGAGGAAGCCCCGGCUAACUACGCGCCAGCAGCCGC